UGCCAGCAGAGAGGCCGUCACUGUGAGGAACCAGCUCACUGGUUAUUUCACGUCUGCAGCUGGCCAAGUCCCCUGGCAGAACCACCUUUAAAAAGUGAUGGUCAUCUGGCGCCCCCGUGUGACCUUUGGGGGUCACUGUGUAUAUAGAUGGAGGGGAGAAACGUAAUCAGUUCACUUGGAGAUUUUUUAGAUAUAGGGGUUUUAAUCUACAUUUCAGAAAUUAUUUUAGUCUGUUUUUUAUCUUUUUCCCCAAAACAAAUUUUGUAAAUAUAUUUUCAAUCAUUCUCUACUAUAGAAUAUUUGUUUAUAAUCAGUUCUCUCAAUCAUUCUCUAUAUAGCCUAUGCAAUUUCUUUAAUUCUCGAUUUUCUCUGUAAAUAGACCUGUAAUCACAGCAUGUGGAAAGUUUAAUUUGUGUAAAGAAUUGUCUAUUAUUAAAAUGUUAUAUGAUAACU